rnacentral:lncRNA from 1 species
AUGAGAAUGAGAAUAAGCAGUGGAAAGCCACGUUUCCAUUCUGCAAAUGAUAUAAUCAAAUCUGUAAAUGGGCAAAAAUACACACAAGAGACGCUCCAUAAAACUGUUGGCAAUUAUUUCAGUGAACAGACACAAGUUGUGUAUAGUCCCCACAGCUGCCGCAGGUGUGGAAAGAAGAGAUUCACACAACAAAGGGGAAAUAUCGAUCAUCUUCUGAAUAUGGUGCUGGGCUACCUGCUUGGGCGCCCAGGAGGGGAUGAGGGGGGAAAAGCGCUGUAAUAUUCCCACGCGUUUCCCAGCCUUGAGGCUGUUUGACCUCUGAGGUCAUGAAGCUCUUGCCCUUCGCCUAACAGCUGACGCCUGGAAUAAGCAGGCCAGCCCAGCAUGGCCUCUGCAGGGGCUAGCAAGAGGGCUCCAGCUGAGGGGUGGCUGCAGCUAUGGCAACAGAUGCCCAGGAAUGAGUUAACACCAGCCAAAGGGGUUAAUGGGAGAGGCAAGGGCUUUUAUAUCAAUGCACUAGGGAAAGAAACGCAAUACAGCGGGAAGGAGGUCCAUUAAUAAAGCUGAGUGAUAAAAUCCACCACCAUUCUUAAAUUGGACUUGGCUACUUAAACUGCUUUUCCAAAUCUGUUCCUGGUAUUCUAGUUGUUCAUCGAGACACUAGCUUAUUUAAAGAAUAAAAACAAUAUUAUAUUAUAAAGUGUAAAAGGAGAAAAUAGGAUAGGCAGAAGGGUAUAAAAUUAGACUUGCAAACAGAGGAAGAAAGGAAAACAAGAGAUGUCUACACCUAUGUUACGCUCUGAAUAUGUUCAAACAGCUUGUAAUUACCAACAAUCACCA